rnacentral:tRNA from 1 species
GGUUGUAGCUCAGCAGUAGAGCACUUGCCUAGCAUGUACAAGGCUCUGGGUUCAAUCCCCAGCACCA